GCACCUUUUCAAAAUGGCAAGUGAGGUGGUUUAUGCAGAGGUAUCGCCCCAUUUUACUUCACAAACUUCGGAUACAGGUGAUCCAGCCACAUACGCUGAGGUGAAUGUGAAAUGGAGAUCUGACAGACCUGACAGCACACCCAAGCCCACACAUACAGUGACCUGCUUGGAGAACUCGCACUGGUGUUACGUUGCUGUCGCCCUGUACUUCACUGCAGUGAUUCUGCUCAUCACUGUCAUCCUCUUGGCGGUGAAAUGCAACAAACUCUGAGGCAGACCCUGCCAUCCUACUGAUAUACAGGAUAACUUGGCACAGGGAGGCUCUGCUUCUUCAACAAAACAGGACAUGAUGCUUGUUUACUUUUACAUUAUUUUCUCUGAAGAGACCUUUAUGAAAGAAGAUAUGCCAUCAGUCUGAUCACUCUUCAGUUAUGUCUUCCAGGAUCUCCAUUAAACCUCUAACCUCUCCAUAUAUGGACAAAACAUAUAUUAUUACUUUUAUUUGGAACUUGCUUAAUCCUGUAAUACCAGCAACCAUCCAAUUAUAUCACUGCACGGACCAAGGCAUGGGCUCAAGCUGCUGUGUGAAAAGUUGGAUUUUGGUCUUAUCUACACAACAGCCAUGACCAGGUGGAUUGGUUUGAGACAUCACUUUUAAUUCACACCUGACUUGAUUUUGCAAUAAUUUGCAAUAUAGAUAAGCUUUUUGAUUACAUAUGUGCAAGUGCAAAAAUUCAUGGCUAAAACAGGGAAUGUGACAGGUUGCACUGAACUUUUUUAUGAAGCUCAGGUUCAGAUGUGAAUUUUCUUCUCCUGAGAGCCUUUAGUGGGAUUUGUAUGAAAGGGGUAUUGAAGGUGCAAAAAGCUUUAUUUGUUUAGUAGAGAAGUCUCAGUUUCAUCCCCCCAUUAGCUUGAAUAAAAUU